rnacentral:rRNA from 1 species
AACGAACGCUGGCGGCAGGCCUAACACAUGCAAGUCGAUCGCUGUCUUCGGACAGAAAGGCGCACGGGUGAGUAACACGUGGGAACAUACCCUUAAGUACGGAAUAACACAUGGAAACGUGUGCUAAUACCGUAUACGCCUACGGGAAGAUUAUCGCUUAAGGAUUGCCGCGUCCGAUUAGCUAGUUGGUGAGGUAAUGGCUCACCAAGGCGACGAUCGGUAGCUGGUUUGAGAGAAUGAUCAGCCACACUGGGACUGAGACACGGCCCAGACUCCUACGGGAGGCAGCAGUGGGGAAUAUUGGACAAUGGGCGAAAGCCUGAUCCAGCCAUGCCGCGUGAGUGAAG